rnacentral:rRNA from 1 species
GAUGAACGCUGGCGGCGUGCCUAAUACAUGCAAGUCGAGCGAACAGACGAGGAGCUUGCUCCUCUGACGUUAGCGGCGGACGGGUGAGUAACACGUGGAUAACCUACCUAUAAGACUGGGAUAACUUCGGGAAACCGGAGCUAAUACCGGAUAAUAUAUUGAACCGCAUGGUUCAAUAGUGAAUGACGGUUUUGCUGUCACUUAUAGAUGGAUCCGCGCCGCAUUAGCUAGUUGGUAAGGUAACGGCUUACCAAGGCGACGAUGCGUAGCCGACCUGAGAGGGUGAUCGGCCACACUGGAACUGAGACACGGUCCAGACUCCUACGGGAGGCAGCAGUAGGGAAUAUUCCGCAAUGGGCGAAAGCCUGACGGAGCAACGCCGCGUGAGUGAUGAAGGUCUUCGGAUCGUAAAACUCUGUUAUUAGGGAAGAACAAAUGUGUAAGUAACUAUGCACGUCUUGACGGUACCUAAUCAGAAAGCCACGGCUAACUACGUG